CCUACGGGAGGCAGCAGUGAGGAAUAUUGGUCAAUGGGCGCGAGCCUGAACCAGCCAAGUAGCGUGAAGGAUGACUGCCCUACGGGUUGUAAACUUGUUUUAUAAAGGAAUAAAGUGAGGCAAGUGUGCCUUUUUGUAUGUACUUUAUGAAUAAGGAUCGGCUAACUCCGUGCCAGCAGCCGCGGUAAUACGGAGGAUCCGAGCGUUAUUCGGAUUUAUUGGGUUUAAAGGGAGCGUAGAUGGGUUGUUAAGUCAGUUGUGAAAGUUUGCGGCUCAACCGUAAAAUGGCAAUUGAUACUGGCAGCCUUGAGUACAGUUGAGGGAGGCGGAAUUCGUGGUGUAGCGGUGAAAUGCUUAGAUAUCGCGAGGAACUCCGAUGGCGAAGGCAGCUUACUAAACUGCCACUGACAUUGAUGCUCGAAAGUGAGGGUAUCAAACAGGAUUAGAUACCCGGGUAGUC
rnacentral:rRNA from 1 species